UACAGAGGUCCCAAGCGUUGUUCGGAUUCACUGGGCGUAAAGGGUGCGUAGGUGGUUGUGCAAGUCUGAUGUGAAAUCCCGGGGCUCAACCCCGGAACUGCAUUGGAUACUGCCUUGCUAGAGUACUGGAGAGGGAACUGGAAUUUACGGUGUAGCAGUGAAAUGCGUAGAGAUCGUAAGGAAGGCCAGUGGCGAAGGCGAGUUCCUGGACAGUGACUGACGCUGAGGCACGAAGGCCAGGGGAGCAAACGGG
rnacentral:rRNA from 1 species